CAAUGAUUCACCGUCAGCACACGGUCCAGCAGCAGCUGGUAUGCAUGUAACUGAGGCUCCCUUACUAUCAGGAUGCACGUCCUCUCUCUUGUCUUAGGGAGAUCUCAACUGAACCGACUCCUCACCUAAUGCUUCAGCAAUGCCUAACGUGGGAGUGACUAGGCACACCCAAUUGCAACUGCCCCCAUUUCAAACAGCUGGCUUGCAGGGCAUCUAAGAAUUAGUUUUCACUUUGCAUUAGGUGUCUUCAGCCCGUUGAAGCAGAACCUUAACUUACUGUAUUCAACGGCUUUUGGACGAUCCCCUUUUGCUUUCUGCAGAAAAUUAAAAAGAAGGACAAAAUUUUGUUUUAAGGUCCCUGAUUUUGUUUUUCUGCCAAAGCAAAUGAAGGGUCUUUGUUAAAAUUGGUUUUCAGCUGCUCUCAGAGAAUACCCAAGCUAUUCAGGAGGAUUGUACAGCUGAAAUUAUCUGCGACUUUUAGGUUGUGUAUGGAUCAUUUGCCUUGGGAAAGUCCACUAUGAAAUAACAGCCUGCUUUGAUGGGGUUAUCAUUAUCAGAGCAGAGGUGCCCUGUUUCUGCUAUGAAAUCUUCAGCAGAAGGAUGCCGCUGCUCCUUUAUUCUACCGCCUUUGCAGCUGAUGGCAAUGUCCAAAUGCAAGGCAGAAAAGCAUCUUUCAUAGUCUGGACGCAGGUAACUGCAGUGAAAUUGUAUCCCACAAAGCAGCCUGGCCAAAAGCUUUCCAGAAGAGUGCAAACAUUCUGAUUUUUCUGGAGAAGCAAGGCCAGCCCUUGCAGUUGUUCCGUGGGAUAUACCCGACAGACCAACAUCACUCUGACCUUGGCAGCUCUCCCCAACUCUUAUUUUCCAUGUUGAAGAAUCUUUGAAAUGCCACUUGUGUCCUGGACACCACCACUACUCUUGCCUUUCAUGCAUUUCUCUUGGAUGCAUGGCCUUGGGCCAGCAGACUGUACUGCAGGGGACGGAGGAGGCUGGAAGUGGUAUCAGUGCUGCGAGUGCUUGGUCCUCAGGGGAUGGUGGCUCAGAGUGCUGGAUUGGUGAUAUAUCUGAUAAAAAGCCCCAUCUGCUCCAUUCUUAUUACUGGCCACACGAAGCUGUUGGAUUAUUGCACAUUACAGCCUCCCAGUAGCUGGAGGUUUUACAGCCUGCAUUUUACCCUUGGUAGUUCAGCUUAUGGUGGAGAACUGGAUGUGAACAGCAGCCCUGGUUUUAUGGUUGAAGGCAGUGAAGUCACACUGAGCACCUGACAGAGGGGCAAGAGACUGCAGUUACAGACAGCGGUGCUAUCAGGGGCAGCAGAGUUGGCCGACUCACUGGAGAAACAUAUUUGACUUUCAAAGUACUGAGUGUUAGCACUGGAAACCAUAAACUUUACUGCUUUGAUUUGGAAAUGACUGCAUUGAAUGUCCAGUUCACCCAGUCCUAGGGGCUUGAGUUUUAUCGCAUGCGGGUGAUAAAAGACUGUCAAUGUUAUUCUUCUGUUAAAUACUUAUAGGAAUUCCUUCAUGCAGUGCUUUGCAGUUCUCCAUGCCCUCUUCUAAACCCUGUCCUGAGAAGGGGGGAUAUUUGCCAUCUCACAAAUAGGUAAUGAGGGAAGGGAGAUGCUGACUUGCCUAACGUAAGACAUGAAGUCUGCUCUGGAGUGAGGAGCCUUGGCUCUGGUUUCUAGCCUUGGGCCUCUGCAUAGUGUUUCCUUGUUCUCCCAGUGCCUGAAAGAGGCUGUAUGUCUCAGUACAUGGAAA
ensembl:lncRNA